GUUGUUAUUACAGUAAGCAAAAAAGGAAAGAGAAGAAGAAGAAGAAAAAAAAAAAAAAAGAGAAGGAAGAAGGGGAAGAAAGAGAAGUGGAGAAGGAGCUUCUUCACCUAAGGUUGAUGUUGGACCAGAACUGUAAAUAGUGUUCUUCGCUAUCUUCUCUGACCUUAUCAAAUUAGCUGAGGUUGUAGAAGAAUGGUGUUGAAGACCUAGGUUGAAGAAGAACAAAGUGAAAGAAGACCUGUGUUGAAGAACAAUUACCCUCUUUUGUUUAUUUUAAGGGAAGGGUGUAAUAGUAAGUUCACUUUAAUAUAAGGGCAUUUUGGUCUUAAAAUGGUGACAUCACCAUCUAACAGUUUCAAAUUCACGGUGACUAACGGAUUGGACCUAAUUAUAAGAAUCUUUCAAACUAUAGGGGAGGGGGCAUAAUUUGUUCAAAUCCUUGGAUCCAUAUGUAAUUUCGGCAAACUUCAGGGGAGAGGGCGUAAUUUUCCCUAUUGAUAUUGUAGAUGCUAUGUAGCCUAAACUACUUUUGACAUGAUCUCUAGUAAGGGUAUGUAAGCAACUUGGUAAAGUUACAUCCAAGUUCAAUCUCCCUCAUAUAUAUUAUGUUCAUUUACUCUCCCAUUUAGACAAUAUUUGUUUUGUCUAGUUUCAUUAUGAUAAUUUGUACCAUAUCUAUAGUAGGUCUAUUUGUUUUCACUUGCUUUAUUUGCUUUCUAACCUAGCAACCUACAUUAGGUUAUAUUUAUUGCUUUACUAAGUACGUUAAUAUGUAGCAUAGGUAGUAAGACUAGUAUAUGCUUAUGAAUGGCCUAAAUAGAAGGAGAACAGUCUCCGAAUGGAUAGAUUGGGUUCCUAACACCUUCCUAGCCUGUAGCCUUAUCCAUUGGAGUUAUUCCUCUUCCCUAAAAGGAGGAGACAUUUAUGGGUCCUAACUCUUAUCUAGAUGGUGACUCGAAAAAACCCUUUGCCCUCUUUCCUUCGAGAGGAUGGCACAAGGAAGACCUCCCCUAGAGUAUAGGAAUUAUACCUAUAAUGGUGACUCCAGUGGAGACCAUAAUCAAGACUCGUGUUUGAAACCAUUUUAUAUAAAUGGCUUGUAUAAUAGCUAUUACAUUUUUUUUUGGGGAAAAUUAAUCCCCUUCCCCUAUAGUUUGCCGAAAUUAUGCCCCCUCCCAUAAAGCUGAAGCUGUCAGGAUUCUGUUAAGUUUAAACAUGAAAAGACUUAAAUACCCUUUAAUUAAUCUAAGUCUUUUGUUGAGAGGACCAUUAUACCCUUUAGGGUAAAUACCCAUUAUACCCUUUGGGAAAAAAACCAAUAAAAUGUGUAUUGCCCUCAAAAUAGAGAGCCGUUGGAGAAGGUUCCCUGUCUCCAAUUAUGGUUCCCUAUCUCCGAGCACCUCACCUCUGCAAAUCGACCUCAACAACCAUUCUAGGUGAAGGUUCUAUCUCCGAUCGACAAGUUUAAAGUUCCCUGUCUCUGAUCGAUUGACGCCGACAAACCCGGGUAAGCAAAGGAGAAGGUUAACCCCUUCAAAUCACCCGACAAAGACCAUUCCAGGUGAAAAAGCUCCGUCUCCGAUCGAUUCACGUCGGAGAACCCAGAUACGAUGUCUACUUCCAGUGUAACUUCCAUGAACCAAGCCGAUGGUCUGAGGUAUGUUAACAUUAAAUGCAAAUAUCACAGAAGAUCUGUAGUCAAGGUAUCGGAGUCCAAAGAAAACCCCAACAGACUCUACUUCACAUGUCCAGAGAUUGCACAGGAGAAGAAAUGUGGUUUUUUUUUGCUUGGUGUGAGCCAGUGAAUGUGACAGCAGUCAGAAGUGAACCUUCAAACAACCCAAGCCCUCAUAAUACAUCAAACAACUCAAGCCCUCAUGAGUUUCAACAGUUGAAGGAUGAGAUACGUAGUAUGAAGAUAAGAUUGAAGCGGGUGGAGAGAUUCAAUGAAAAUUUGAAACUGCUUGAACAAGUUGUUUUAUGUUUUGUGAUUGUGCUAUUGGUUGUAAUGGUUGUAAAAGUUUAGAAGUCUUUCUUAAAAUGUUUCUUUAGGAUUUUGAUGUCAAUGUACCUAGUCUACAACUCUUUGAUGUUUGGCAUGGUUGGGAUGGUUGAAGGAAUGUGUUAAUUGAGACCACUAUGGUAAUUAGAAUGUGAUCUUAUUUCUACCA